UGCCUUUCGAUCAUUAAUGCCGAGCAAGAAACAGUCUCGUUUUGCAAUGCUGACAAACAAAACCUGUUAAGAGGUGGUAAAUUAAGUAAUCCUGCUCCUAUAAAAUAGUAAAGGAGGGUGCUGGACUCUUUUCUGUCCUAUGGGAUGAUGAAACAGCCCACCCCCCCUCCUCUAGACCUACAAAUCCCUCUGCAGGAUCGAGUCAGGAGCAGCGAGAGAGGGGAAGAAGAGGAAGAAGGAAGGUGCAUCUGCCAGGAGUAUCCAGAGGUUACAGAACAAAGAGAAUAAUGAUUCUGACACCUAGGGGAGGAGCUGGGCUGUGAGAGAGUGAAGAAUGCCGGUGUUUGUUCUGUAGUGAAAUGUCACCGAGUGGAAGGAGACUGUUGGUGAAGGCCCAGACUUCAGAGAGGCCUUCCUGUCGAGCGGGAGAGAGAGGGCUUGAAGGUGUCACGCUGGAACAAAGACUGUUCGACAACAGUCAUGAGGCUGGCCCACACUGAGAGAUCACUUCACACAAAACUACAGAAUCAACCCCUUUCAUGUGUGAGAUACUCCUUUCUGCACCCCAGCCAUGCCGCCUACUGAACGACACACUGUGCCAGGCUGCUAAAAAACAGGUGACGUUUUAGUUGCAAUCAAGGUCCUUCAUGGACGCCAUUUUAUUCUUACAAAACCA
rnacentral:lncRNA from 1 species